GACUUCCGGGUUGGUGCGAACAGCUAAUGGCGGAUUCUCUCCGAGCUCCGGAGGGAAUCGGCUCCGCUGGGGACGGGUCUUGCCGCGACGGCGACGCGGAGACCCUCAAAAACCGCAGGCGCGGAUGCCUGCGGACCUGGUGACUCGGUGGGCACCUUAAGCGCCCCCCCGACCCACGAAGAGCCUUUUUAAAGGCUACGGAGAGGGUACGGAAGGCGGCGUGGUGCUGGGAGUAGACCGCUACCCCAGCGGAGCGGAGCCGUGUGCCAUGGCUGAAGAGCACUGACUUUUUUCCUUAAAUUCGGAACUCGAAAAGAAGCAACCCGUGAGUAGAUUGGAAUUCGGACUUUAAAAUAUCUAUCUGUGAAUUUGAUACGACCGGGGAUGUGUUAAAGGGAAGUCCGCACCCCCCCCUUCUGCAGACGAUUUAAAGCAAUAGCAGGAGAACUAAGUUGGAGAGUCUACCCCUUUGGGGUGAGUUAAAAAGACAUUAACUUUCACGAUUUGAUAAAAGAAGUUUUGAGCUGGAGUGUAAGAGUGGAAUUUUAGAAGUUUUUCUCUUGUGGUGUGUAACCCCCCCCUUCCGGGCCCGGGAGCGUCCUGCCUUUGAGCCUGUUGAAGAGGAAAGGAGUUUGACAGCUGUUAAAGCUGUCAAACGGGCAAUUUAAAGUAAAAAGCGUGUUAUUUAAGAUCUCCCUGGACUAAAUGUGAUACAAUUGAAUUAAAGUGGUUCGAAACAAAGAAACAAAGAACGAGGCAAAGGACUGUUGGGAAAAGAUUACUAAGUAACCAGAUUCCCUCUAGGGGAAUUCUGAGACAUUACAAUGGCUGCGGAUGGAAAUUUACUAGCUGAAAUAGAAAGAAUGUGUUACUUUGUGGGAACUUUACAAGAGCAGAGUCUGGCUAUGAAUAAACAACUUACGACCUUGACUUCUGGAAUAAGCAGCUCUGCUGAAUGUAUUGAGGAUCUGAAUGAGAAAAAUCUGCAGCUGAACCGGAACAGAUAUCUCAAGAAUUGAAGGAGACUAAACAAGGAAAGGAGAAAGCACAGAUGGAAAGUACCAACCAGAAGCCUACACAUGUGGAUUAUAAACAAGAAGACCCUUGGAUUACAUGGAUUACAAAUCUGCAAAAGAUGCGAAAGAUGAAGGAGGAGGCCCCUGGAGUACUUGGAAUUCAAGAACUUAAAAGAAAGAAGAAAUAUGAUGGGGGCCUCCAUUCUGAAUAUGAAGGACUGGUGGAACUUUUGCAGCAGUUGUCUCUAAGUUUUCUUGUGGGAAGAAAAUCUGGCUUGACUGGGACAGAACUCCUUCGAGAUCCGAAGACCAACAUAAAGGACUACCAACAAAACCGGCGGAGAGGGACUGAAAGAGACUUGAAGGCCUCGGAUGUGAGAAAUCCAGGCUAAGAACUGUUAUUGUAGAAAUGUACUUGGGAAGGGACGAACCGGGGAUGGGAGGGGGGGAAAAUAGAAUUUUAAAAACACUUACGAUUUUUGGGUCUAGUCAAUAUGAUUGAUGCUUAAUAAAAAUGGGAAAUCGAUGGAAGGGAAUCUGAGCCCAACUUAGGAUAGAAUUUAAUCUUCUACAAAAGAUGUAAUAUUAACAGGGUAAGGAGGUAAAAUAAUAACUUGCUGACAUAAUUAUGGGAAUUGGGAUGUAUGAAGGGGGGGCGGGGAAGUCAAGGACCAAAGUUAAGAAAGUAAGAUUUUUGAAAUUAUACAUGUUUUUUGUCUUUGUCUUUUACGUGUGUGUUAUGUCUUUAUAAAAUGUGAAAAACCAAUU